UGUGACCUCAAAUCAGGCAGGACUACCCGCUGAACUUAAGCAUAUCAAUAAGCGGAGGAAAAGAAACUAACAAGGAUUCCCCUAGUAACUGCGAGUGAAGCGGGAAAAGCUCAAAUUUAAAAUCUGGCAGUCUUAUGGCUGUCCGAGUUGUAAUCUAGAGAAGUGUUAUCCGCGCUGGACCGUGUACAAGUCUCCUGGAAUGGAGCAUCAUAGAGGGUGAGAAUCCCGUCUUUGACAUGGACUACCAGGGCUUUGUGAUGCGCUCUCAAAGAGUCGAGUUGUUUGGGAAUGCAGCUCAAAAUGGGUGGUAAAUUCCAUCUAAAGCUAAAUAUUGGCGAGAGACCGAUAGCGAACAAGUACCGUGAGGGAAAGAUGAAAAGAACUUUGGAAAGAGAGUUAAACAGUACGUGAAAUUGCUGAAAGGGAAACGCUUGAAGUCAGUCGCGUCAUCCAGGGAUCAACCUUGCUUUUGCUUGGUGCACUUUCUGGUUUGAUGGGUCAGCAUCAAUUUUGACCAUUGGAAAAAGGCUGAGGGAAUGUGGCAUCUUUGGAUGUGUUAUAGCCCUUGGUCACAUACAAUGGUUGGGAUUGAGGAACUCAGCACGCCGAAAGGUCGGG
rnacentral:rRNA from 1 species